CAGGAUUAGAUACCCUGGUAGUCCACGCCGUAAACGAUGUCGACUUGGAGGUUGUGCCCUUGAGGCGUGGCUUCCGGAGCUAACGCGUUAAGUCGACCGCCUGGGGAGUACGGCCGCAAGGUUAAAACUCAAAUGAAUUGACGGGGGCCCGCACAAGCGGUGGAGCAUGUGGUUUAAUUCGAUGCAACGCGAAGAACCUUACCUGGUCUUGACAUCCACGGAAGUUUUCAGAGAUGAGAAUGUGCCUUCGGGAACCGUGAGACAGGUGCUGCAUGGCUGUCGUCAGCUCGUGUUGUGAAAUGUUGGGUUAAGUCCCGCAACGAGCGCAACCCUUAUCCUUUGUUGCCAGCGGUCCGGCCGGGAACUCAAAGGAGACUGCCAGUGAUAAACUGGAGGAAGGUGGGGAUGACGUCAAGUCAUCAUGGCCCUUACGACCAGGGCUACACACGUGCUACAAUGGCGCAUACAAAGAGAAGCGACCUCGCGAGAGCAAUCGGACCUCAUAAAGUGCGUCGUAGUCCGGAUUGGAGUCUGCAACUCGACUCCAUGAAGUCGGAAUCGCUAGUAAUCGUGGAUCAGAAUGCCACGGUGAAUACGUUCCCGGGCCUUGUACACACCGCCCGUCACACCAUGGGAGUGGGUUGCAAAAGAAGUAGGUAGCUUAACCUUCGGGAGGGCGCUUACCACUUUGUGAUUCAUGACUGGGGUGAAGUCGUAACAAGGUAACC
rnacentral:rRNA from 1 species